UGGAUUAUGGAGGGAAGCUGAGAUAUAUAGGUGAGAGUUUGAAUUCAGUUAGAGCUUGAAGUUAGUUACAAAAGGGAGAAGCUUGAGCCAAUGGAUCAAAAAGUUGGUUGAAGAUUGAAGGUCCAGAUUCAAUGUAGUUAAAGGGAGCACUUGAAUCUUAUGGUGAUUGGACUUGGCUCAGCUUUACUAUGCACUUGGCAAAAUUUGAAGGAGGAAGCAUGUAUAAGAACAUUAGGAAUAGACUUAUGAUCUCUUUUUCCUUUUGUAAUUUUUUGUACUGCAACUCUGUAACUUUGUAAUGAAUACCUCUCAACAUUGUAAUAAAAUUUAAAUUUCUGAAUUUUUA